rnacentral:sRNA from 1 species
CAAUGAUUCCCCCGCCCCACGUUCCGCGCUCGCGUAGCUUCUAACGAUUCUUACGCGUACCCCUUAAUGUUCUUCCGCUCCGCGCUCCACUGUGGAGCGGCUUCUGAUAUUCUUCCGCCCCGAACUUUCCCCUAUAAGAACCCCCUUCGUACGACCUUUUCUUCUGAUUUCUUUUCUCUUUCUUUCCUUAAUCAAUUCGUAAUCUGUAAUUAGGAUAGUACCAAAUCGUUAAUCGAAGUACGCCCGUUACAUCCACACAUCAAUAAAAAUGACACCAUCUGAAGCAAUGAUCGGCCGACCAACUGAACUUUGCAUAGACAUGAAACCCCCAAGCACAGAUGUGUCAAAAUCAGCAAUGAAACAAGUGGAAUGAAUGAAGCAAGCAGAGAACAAGAUCUGAGAAUGCCUGGAAGCUGUCAAAACAGCUGAGAAAAAGUAUUACAAUCAGUGUUAUAUAUCAAAAAGCUUUA